CUACGGGCCGCUGCAGUGAGGAAUAUUGCACCAUUGUUUUCCCCCUUCUUCCUCUUCUCCGCUUGGAGGAUGACGCAUUUCGGUGUGUAAGCUCCUUUUAUAUGUCAAGAAAAUGACGGUAGCAUAUGAAUAAGCACCGGCUAACUCCGUGCCAGCAGCCGCGGUAAUACGGAGGGUGCAAGCGUUACUCGGAAUCACUGGGCGUAAAGGACGCGUAGGCGGGUUGGAAAGUCAGGUGUGAAAUCCUACAGCUUAACUGUAGAACUGAACUUGAAACUUCUAAUCUAGAGUAUGAGAGGGGGAGAUGGAAUUAGUGGUGUAGGGGUAAAAUCCGUAGAUAUCACUAGGAAUACCUAAAGCGAAGGCGAUCUCCUGGAACAUUACUGACGCUAAGGCGUGAAAGCGUGGGGAGCAAACAGGAUUAGAUACCCUCGUAGUC
rnacentral:rRNA from 1 species